rnacentral:rRNA from 1 species
UACGGGGGGAGCAAGCGUUGUUCGGAUUUACUGGGCGUAAAGAGCUCGUAGGCGGCUUGUCACGUCGGGUGUGAAAGCCCGGGGCUUAACCCCGGGUCUGCAUUCGAUACGGGCUAGCUAGAGUGUGGUAGGGGAGAUCGGAAUUCCUGGUGUAGCGGUGAAAUGCGCAGAUAUCAGGAGGAACACCGGUGGCGAAGGCGGAUCUCUGGGCCAUUACUGACGCUGAGGAGCGAAAGCGUGGGGAGCGAACAGG